AGUGAACGCUGGCAGUAGGCCUAACACAUGCAAGUCGAACGGCAGCACAGUAAGAGCUUGCUCUUACGGGUGGCGAGUGGCGGACGGGUGAGGAAUACAUCGGAAUCUACUUUUUCGUGGGGGAUAACGUAGGGAAACUUACGCUAAUACCGCAUACGACCUACGGGUGAAAGCAGGGGAUCUUCGGACCUUGCGCGAUUGAAUGAGCCGAUGUCGGAUUAGCUAGUUGGCGGGGUAAAGGCCCACCAAGGCGACGAUCCGUAGCUGGUCUGAGAGGGUGAUCAGCCACACUGGAACUGAGACACGGUCCAGACUCCUACGGGAGGCAGCAGUGGGGAAUAUUGGACAAUGGGCGCAAGCCUGAUCCAGCCAUACCGCGUGGGUGAAGAAGGCCUUCGGGUUGUAAAGCCCUUUUGUUGGGAAAGAAAAGCAGCAGGUUAAUACCCCGCUGUUCUGACGGUACCCAAAGAAUAAGCACCGGCUAACUCCGUG
rnacentral:rRNA from 1 species